rnacentral:lncRNA from 1 species
UGGCUGCUAUUCAGAACAUGCAGCCCUUGCGGUGAAAUAACCAUGGCAAAGAUUUCAAGCUUCCGCAUUGUGGUCUUUUUGGCCGCAUUUGUUUGUCUUCUGUCAGUUAUGCAGAAUGACGGGCAGUCGUGUGCCUAUGCAGACCGAGUUAUGCCAAAGGGGGCUCAUGCCGGAAUUAAAAUACCUCCAAGAACACCUGGUACUGGAGGACGACCCGGUCCACCAAGGGGUCCUCGACCCGGUGGCAGACCUAAAGGACGUUGAGCUACCCAAGGAUGACGGGGCUCUCCUUGCUCAAGGAUUCGCAGCCACGGCGAUGUAUUCCAACUAAAAAUACAAUAAAACGUUUUGAACGCCAACCUAAAAGACUCGUUGUAAUACAGCGGCUGUUUAAACUUGAAAUGCCGCCGGUUUCCAAUAGAGUACAUAGUCUAGUUUUUUCACUUGUUUCCUAACCAUAAUCUACAUGAAUUAAACCAUGGAAUGCGUCGAUGAAGUAACCUUUAUUUCAGCACUUCCAACGCAACCUACAAAGUGAAUUCGGACCUUCUUUUCUAUGUAAACAGGAGCAUUUUUGAAUCCCUUUUAUCUAAUCUUCUGCUUGUUAGAAAAAAGAGAAAUUAGUUGAUACGUGUUCAUGCUAAAGCACUAGGCGUGCAAACAUGAACACAACAGAUAAGUCAAAACACCACAAACGCCGACUAACAACAGAAAAGGUGCAUAGCGCUGAAAAAAACAUCCGGCAGGCAUGGGGUUCUACAUGAGAGACAACUCUUCCGGUAUUUUAUUUCUUGUUUAUGCAAGUUUUGACCACUAUUUUUGAUAUGCCAUGCCUCGACCAUUAGACGCGCUGCGUUAUUCCCGUGUCUUUACAAAACUGCGCAUUCACUUCUCUCGUGCGUCUUUUAGAACGAAAACCGAUACGGCCGCACUAACUGUCAAAGUAUGACUUGUUCCCGGAUGCUGUCUGUACGACGAAAAUGCAGGCUCGGGAACAGAGCAUUUUAGUAACCUGGUGCAAAAGAUCAGGGACAAGAUUAGCGCAGCAAUGAGUCGUUACGUGAAGGUAGAUUAUAAAAAGUAAAACUCUCAUGAAGAAAUAAAAAUUAGGUGGGGCUACACUUGUUCGUAAUGUGCACACUUUGUGUGAUGACUGGCUGUGACCCUAUUUCACAGGCGAUUACAGCAAUGAAUGAUGAUGAAAAUCACCAUCAUCACCAUCAUCUUUGUGAGCUCGAAGUCUUAGUAUGUGAUGCACGCCGUUGGUAUUGAAAGACCUCCGCUGUUAAAAGAGCUCGUUUCGCAGAAAUUCUUCCGUCGCCGUCGGCGUCGUUGGUUGUGAGCGAUAAAUCAGCGUUGUCCGUGAGCAAAAAUUUCGAGAUAAAUGCGAAUAAAAAUAAAUAAAGAAAUAAACUUGCGUUGGACCGUGAAUCGAACCCAGGCUUGCUGCGCGGCAAGCACGUAUUCUACGACAGAGGACGCCAUUGCUUGCAGCUGCCUCCGAAGAAAACAGUUAUCAGAACGUCAUGUAAUGUUAGCAUUAACGCAUGCAGUGUUGCGUCGUAAAGCGCAUAAUCGUAGCAGGCAUCAAUACAUGUGGAUUGCACAACGACUGAGGCAUUUAAAAGCCCACCCAUUACUAAGCGCACGGACAUAUCGAAGGUCAUCGUGAGCGGCAGUCAUCAUCAUCAGCAAAAUUCUCAACAAAGUUAGCAGCUGUGUAACCACGUCGUGCCUUACGGACGAGUAGUUGGUACGUCGCUGAUUCGCAAAAGCAAGAAUUUGGACAUAAGCGGCACUUCGCACCUGUACUUCCAGUAGGCAUUUCAGGAUUCUUUGAAACUGUCAGUGUUACAUGCACAGGCGUUCCUAUCUUUUUUCCACAGUUAUGGUGCCCACGGAGAAGCGAACCGAGGCCAGCGAUUGAGGAGGAGAUGCGAACGGGGCCCGAUUAAGCUAUCGCAUUUUUUCUCUUGAGACUCCUUGUAAUACAGCUCAAGUAUUCGACAACGUUUUACACGAAAACGUUUUAUGCCGGGCUCCACCAAGACUUCACUGACGUGCUACCGUAACGAAAAUACGUCAGCAAUAAACAGAUGAUAAAGCAAAAGUUUCGUUAAUUUAGUUGACUUGGCAGUCGAACCCACGACCUCUCGGUCCGCGGCGAUUAUAGCCGGGCACAAUGGCAACUGCGCCACCGACGAUCGUGCAUAAGACUUCACAAACGCGCCUUAUAUCUCUCUCGAACAUUCACCCUUUCACAGUGACGUUUGUUGGCGGGGGGCGGCGUCGCCCUCUGGGAUCAGUGAAGAAUGACGGCCAGUCAUGUGCCACUGCAGUCCGAGUCGUACCUCAAGGCGCUUUUGCAGGAAUUCACAUACCUACUCCAUCACCUGGUCGAGGGCGAUCCACUACACCAAGGCGCCUAAGACCCGGUGGAAGGCCUGCAGGUGGAAAUGUUCCAGGACGGCCAGUAAACCAUGGAUGACGGAAGUCCUUGUGCUGAAUAAUUCGCUGCCAAGCCGAAUCAUUCCAACGAGAGUGCAAUAAAAUGUUCUGAACACCAACCUUGAAGACUUAUUGUAAUACAGCGGCUGUUUAAACUUGAAA